UUUUUUUUUUUUUUUUUUUUUUUUUUCAUAUGGAUGCUGCUUGCUGAUCUAUUCUCUCACUGAAUUGAAAACCAGAGCACCUGCAAGAAAGUGGAAGCUUUCAAUUGCCG
rnacentral:ribozyme from 10 species